rnacentral:lncRNA from 1 species
AAGGAAAAUAGCAUGCAGAGCUUUCCUUCUUCGCCCAUACAACCUCCAUAUUUAUGUUGAUCAUCCUCCACUUCCACUAAGUGGGACUAAAAAUUUGCAUGACUUUCUCAUGCCUGGAGAUUUAUUUGAAAUUUUGAUAUUUAGAUGGACCAAGCCCAUAUAUUCCAACACAUGCCAUGGUUCAAAUCAAAGAUUCAAGAACUUCCAUUCCCACAUGUUCUACAAGUUAAGAACUCACAAAAUAGCCAUCCCCUCCG